rnacentral:lncRNA from 1 species
GACCUUUUUCAUAAGUACAUGGCACUAUAUACAUUCCAGAGGAAGGACCACUGUCUACACAUGGUGUCAGGGGAGGGGUAGGGAGACAGGACACAGUCAGGAGGGGUAGGGAGACAGGACACAGUCAGGAGGGGUAGGGGAGACAGGACACAGUCAGGAGGGGUAGGGGGACACCAGGACACAGUCAGGAGGGGGUGGGAGACAGGACACGUCAGGGGGGGG